AACGAACGCUGGCGGUGCGUUUUAAGCUUGCAAGUCGAACGGCAGGAAGGUGCUUGCACUUUCCUAGAGUGGCGGACUGGUGAGUAACGCGUAGGUGAUCUACCUUUAAGACUGGGACAGCCUUUAGAAAUAAGGGGUAAUACCGGAUGUGCUUAUUAUGUUUUGACGUAGUAAGGGAAGGAGCGUUUGCUCCGCUUAGAGAUGAGCCUGCGUCCCAUUAGCUAGUUGGUAAGGUAACGGCCUACCAAGGCGAUGAUGGGUAUCCGACCUGAGAGGGUGAUCGGACACAUUGGGACUGAGAUACGGCCCAAACUCCUACGGGGAGGCAGCAGCUGAGAAUCUUCCGCAAUGGACGAAAGUCGGACGGAGCGACACCGCGUGAAUGAUGAAGGCCGAAGGGUGGUAAAGUUCUUUUGCAGACAAAGAAUAAGGAUAGAAGGAAAUGUCUAUUUAAUGACGGUAGUUAUGCGAAUAAGCCCCGGCUAAUUACGUGCCAGCAGCCGCGGUAAUACGUAAGGGGCGAGCGUUGCUCGGAAUUAUUGGGCGUAAAGGGCAUGUAGGCGGUUGGGUAAGCCUGAUGUGAAAUCUACGAGCUUAACUCGUAAACUGCAUAGGGUACUGCUCAUCUUGAAUCAUAGAGGGGGAACUGGAAUUCCAAGUGUAGGGGUGGAAUCUGUAGAUAUAUGGAAGAACACCGGUGGCGAAGCGGGUGCCUAGCUAAUGAUUGACGCUGAUGUGCGAACGUGCGGGGAGCAAACAGGAUUAGAUACCCUGGUAGUCCGCUCAGUAAACGAUGUACACUACGUGUCGGGGUAAAACUCAGUGCCGGCGCAAACGCAAUAAGUGUACCGCCUGGGGAGUAUGCCCGCAAGGGUGAAACUCACAGGAAUUGACGGGGGCUCACACAAGCGGAUGUGCAUGUGGUUUAAUUCGAUGAUACUCUAGGAAACCUUACCUGGGUUCGACAUCAAG
rnacentral:rRNA from 1 species